CUGGCGGCAGUAGCGCGGUGGUCCCACCUGACCCCAUGCCGAACUCAGAAGUGAAACGCCGUAGCGCCGAUGGUAGUGUGGGGUCUCCCCAUGCGAGAGUAGGGAACUGCCAG
rnacentral:rRNA from 14 species